AAUAUUGGUCAAUGGACGGAAGUCUGAACCAGCCAUGCCGCGUGGAGGAAGAAGGUCCUAUGGGUUGUAAACUCCUUUUGUCCGAGAGUAAUAAGUGGGAUGCGUCCCGCGAUGAUAGUAUCGGGCGAAUAAUCAUCGGCUAACUCCGUGCCAGCAGCCGCGGUAAUACGGAGGAUGCGAGCGUUAUCCGGAUUUAUUGGGUUUAAAGGGUGCGCAGGCGGCGCGUUAAGUCAGCGGUGAAAUCUCCCGGCUCAACCGGGGAACUGCCGUUGAUACUGGCGUGCUAGAGUACGGACGGCGCCGGCGGAAUGUGUCAUGUAGCGGUGAAAUGCUUAGAUAUGCCACAGAACACCGAUAGCGGAGGCAGCUGGCCGGGCCUGCAUUGACGCUCAGGCACGAAAGCGUGGGGAUCGAACAG
rnacentral:rRNA from 1 species